UUCACAGAAGAGAAGGAAGACCAAGGAAAUGAUUUGCUCAGGAUGAGGAAUGAAGAAGGCCAUCUUGUGCUCAAGCAAACAGAAGUCCUCUGGUAUAUCUCAUCAGCCAAAUGAGGGGUUUCGACCAAGUUAUGCUCUUGAAAGGAGUGAAAGGAGAGGAUGUGGUAAAUUGUCUUUAGAGAAAAAGCUUCUCAAAAGGUCUUAAAGCAGCUUGAAGAAUGGUCUGGGAACUGUCUGAAAAUGGGAUGUUAGGACUGAGAGAUCCUCUGGCUGAGAAAAAGCUACACCACAUCAGUGCUGGAUAUCAACCACAAACUGUUUCCAGACACGAGAGAAGAAGAUCAUGAUGGGGAGAUGAAACCAGUUUAGAUGUGAUGAUAAGGAAUCAUUAUUUUCUGAAACAGUAUCACAUGUCUUAUAUGUAUCACAUGAUCUGUAUCACAGUUGACUGGAUG